rnacentral:rRNA from 1 species
CCGUAGCCCAAGAGAUCGGGAUAACACCUGGAAACAGAUGCUAAUACCGGAUAACAACAGAUGAUGCCUAUCAACUGUUUAAAAGAUGGUUCUGCUAUCACUCUUGGAUGGACCUGCGGUGCAUUAGCCAGUUGGUAGGGUAACGGCCUACCAAGGCGAUGAUGCAUAGCCGAGUUGAGAGACUGAUCGGCCACAUUGGGACUGAGACACGGCCCAAACUCCUACGGGAGGCAGCAGCC